rnacentral:rRNA from 1 species
GAGGCCGAAAGGCGUAAUCGAUGGGAAACGGGUUAAUAUUCCCGUACUUCUGACUAUUGCGAUGGGGGGACGGAGAAGGCUAGGUGGGCCAGGCGACGGUUGUCCUGGUUCAAGUGCGUAGGCUUGAGAGUUAGGUAAAUCCGGCUCUCUUUAAGGCUGAGACACGACGUCGAGCUACUACGGUAGUGAAGUCAUUGAUGCCAUGCUUCCAGGAAAAGCCUCUAAGCUUCAGAUAGUCAGGAAUCGUACCCCAAACCGACACAGGUGGUCGGGUAGAGAAUACCAAGGCGCUUGAGAGAACUCGGGUGAAGGAACUAGGCAAAAUGGUACCGUAACUUCGGGAGAAGGUACGCUCUUGAUGGUGAAGUCCCUCGCGGAUGGAGCUGACGAGAGUCGCAGAUACCAGGUGGCUGCAACUGUUUAUUAAAAACACAGCACUGUGCAAAAUCGCAAGAUGACGUAUACGGUGUGACGCCUGCCCGGUGCCGGAAGGUUAAUUGAUGGGGUUAGCGCAAGCGAAGCUCUUGAUCGAAGCCCCGGUAAACGGCGGCCGUAACUAUAACGGUCCUAAGGUAGCGAAAUUCCUUGUCGGGUAAGUUCCGACCUGCACGAAUGGCGUAAUGAUGGCCACGCUGUCUCCACCCGAGACUCAGUGAAAUUGAAAUCGCUGUGAAGAUGCAGUGUACCCGCGGCUAGACGGAAAGACCCCGUGAACCUUUACUACAGCUUGGCACUGAACAUUGAACCUACAUGUGUAGGAUAGGUGGGAGGCUUUGAAGACGUGACGCCAGUUGCGUUGGAGCCGUCCUUGAAAUACCACCCUUGUAUGUUUGAUGUUCUAACUUAGCCCCAUUAUCUGGGGUGAGGACAGUGCCUGGUGGGUAGUUUGACUGGGGCGGUCUCCUCCCAAAGAGUAACGGAGGAGCACGAAGGUGGGCUAAUCACGGUUGGACAUCGUGAGGUUAGUGCAAUGGCAUAAGCCCGCUUAACUGCGAGAAUGACGGUUCGAGCAGGUGCGAAAGCAGGUCAUAGUGAUCCGGUGGUUCUGUAUGGAAGGGCCAUCGCUCAACGGAUAAAAGGUACUCCGGGGAUAACAGGCUGAUACCGCCCAAGAGUUCAUAUCGACGGCGGUGUUUGGCACCUCGAUGUCGGCUCAUCACAUCCUGGGGCUGAAGUCGGUCCCAAGGGUAUGGCUGUUCGCCAUUUAAAGUGGUACGCGAGCUGGGUUUAGAACGUCGUGAGACAGUUCGGUCCCUAUCUGCCGUGGGCGUUGGAAGAUUGAAGGGGGCUGCUCCUAGUACGAGAGGACCGGAGUGGACGAACCUCUGGUGUUCGGGUUGUGUCGCCAGACGCAUUGCCCGGUAGCUAAGUUCGGAAUUGAUAAGCGCUGAAAGCAUCUAAGCGCGAAGCGAGCCCUGAGAUGAGUCUUCCCUGA